rnacentral:rRNA from 1 species
GAUGAACGCUGGCGGCGUGCCUAAUACAUGCAAGUCGAGCGAACGGACGAGAAGCUUGCUUCUCUGAUGUUAGCGGCGGACGGGUGAGUAACACGUGGAUAACCUACCUAUAAGACUGGGAUAACUUCGGGAAACCGUAGCUAAUACCGGAUAAUAUUUUGAACCGCAUGGUUCAAAAGUGAAAGACGGUCUUGCUGUCACUUAUAGAUGGAUCCGCGCUGCAUUAGCUAGUUGGUAAGGUAACGGCUUACCAAGGCAACGAUGCAUAGCCGACCUGAGAGGGUAAUCGGCCACACUGGAACUGAGACACGGUCCAGACUCCUACGGGAGGCAGCAGUAGGGAAUCUUCCGCAAUGGGCGAAAGCCUGACGGAGCAACGCCGCGUGAGUGAUGAAGGUCUUCGGAUCGUAAAACUCUGUUAUUAGGGAAGAACAUAUGUGUAAGUAACUGUGCACAUCUUGACGGUACCUAAUCAGAAAGCCACGGCUAACUACGUG